rnacentral:rRNA from 1 species
UACGUAGGGGGCAAGCGUUGUCCGGAAUUAUUGGGCGUAAAGAGCGUGUAGGCGGCCUUACAGGUCAGCUGUGAAAACUCGAGGCUCAACCUCGAGACGUCGGUUGAAACCGUAAGGCUAGAGUCCGGAAGAGGAGAGUGGAAUUCCCGGUGUAGCGGUGAAAUGCGCAGAUAUCGGGAAGAACACCCGUGGCGAAGGCGGCUCUCUGGGACGGUACUGACGCUGAGACGCGAAAGCGUGGGGAGCGAACAGG